GCCAGCAGCCAUAUCACCCUGCAACUCACAACUGGCAGCCCACUGAAGCUAAGCAGAUGUGAGCCUGGUCAGUACCUGGAUGGGAGACCUGGGAAAAAACUAAGGUUGCUGCUGGAA
rnacentral:rRNA from 1 species